CUUUUGUAUAAUGGGUCAGCGACUUAUAUUCUGUAGCAAGGUUAACCGAAUAGGGGAGCCGAAGGGAAACCGAGUCUUAACUGGGCGUUAAGUUGCAGGGUAUAGACCCGAAACCCGGUGAUCUAGCCAUGGGCAGGUUGAAGGUUGGGUAACACUAACUGGAGGACCGAACCGACUAAUGUUGAAAAAUUAGCGGAUGACUUGUGGCUGGGGGUGAAAGGCCAAUCAAACCGGGAGAUAGCUGGUUCUCCCCGAAAGCUAUUUAGGUAGCGCCUCGUGAAUUCAUCUCCGGGGGUAGAGCACUGUUUCGGCAAGGGGGUCAUCCCGACUUACCAACCCGAUGCAAACUGCGAAUACCGGAGAAUGUUAUCACGGGAGACACACGGCGGGUGCUAACGUCCGUCGUGAAGAGGGAAACAACCCAGACCGCCAGCUAAGGUCCCAAAGUCAUGGUUAAGUGGGAAACGAUGUGGGAAGGCCCAGACAGCCAGGAUGUUGGCUUAGAAGCAGCCAUCAUUUAAAGAAAGCGUAAUAGCUCACUGGUCGAGUCGGCCUGCGCGGAAGAUGUAACGGGGCUAAACCAUGCACCGAAGCUGCGGCAGCGACACUAUGUGUUGUUGGGUAGGGGAGCGUUCUGUAAGCCUG
rnacentral:rRNA from 1 species